rnacentral:tRNA from 1 species
GCGAUGGCGUGGGCGGGUUCGAGUGCGGGGAUGAUGCCCUCGGUCCGGCAGAGCAGCUGGAAGGCGUCGAGCGCCUCGACGUCGGUCGCA